rnacentral:rRNA from 1 species
AAUUUGUAGAAUUUGUCUUUGAUUAGGUCCUUGUCUAUGUUCCUUGGAACAGGACGUCAUAGAGGGUGAGAAUCCCGUUUGGCGAGGAUACCUUUUCUUUGUAAGACUUUUUCGAAGAGUCGAGUUGUUUGGGAAUGCAGCUCAAAGUGGGUGGUAAAUUCCAUCUAAAGCUAAAUAUUGGCGAGAGACCGAUAGCGAACAAGUACAGUGAUGGAAAGAUGAAAAGAACUUUGAAAAGAGAGUGAAAAAGUACGUGAAAUUGUUGAAAGGGAAGGGCAUUUGAUCAGACAUGGUGUUUUUUGCAUGCACUCGCCUCUCGUGGGCUUGGGCCUCUCAAAAAUUUCACUGGGCCAACAUCAGUUCUGGCAGCAGGAUAAAUCAUUAAGAAUGUAGCUACCUCGGUAGUGUUAUAGCUUAUUGGAAUACUGCUAGCUGGGAUUGAGGACUGCGCUUCGGCAAGGAUGUUGGCAUAAUGGUUAAAUGCCGC